CAUUCACGGAGAGUUUGAUCCUGGCUCAGGACGAACGCUGGCGGCGUGCUUAACACAUGCAAGUCGAACGAUGAACCACUUCGGUGGGG
rnacentral:rRNA from 2 species